UACGAAGGGUGCAAGCGUUACUCGGAAUUACUGGGCGUAAAGCGUGCGCAGGCGGUUCGUUAAGUUCGUCGUGAAAGCCCCGGGCUCAACCUGGGAACUGCGAUGGAAACUGGCGGGCUUGAGUGUGGCAGAGGGGGGUGGAAUUCCGCGUGUAGCAGUGAAAUGCGUAGAGAUGCGGAGGAACACCGAUGGCGAAGGCAGCCCCCUGGGCCAACACUGACGCUCAGGCACGAAAGCGUGGGGAGCAAACAGG
rnacentral:rRNA from 1 species